ACUUGAACCUGGGAAGUGGAGUUUGCAGUGAGCCAAGAUUGCACCACUGCACUCCAGCCUGGGCAACAGUGCGAGACUCUGUCUCCAAACAAACAAAGCACACAUACACACACACACAAACUUUUUAUCUUGAUUUGAACCCAAAGAAAGACAAGUGUGUGAAAAGACUUUUUGGACAUGGAAGAUCACUACUUAACAUGUAUCUAAUGAUAUAGCCUCAUUGUUUAAUUCUAUUAAAUAUUUCUAAUUCUAAUAAAUAUUUGUUGCAUGAAUCUAAAUGUAGUGUGCCAUAGUAUGACUUUGCAAACAGAAAAUAAGCUAAACAUCACUUUUAGGAAUUCCCUGUCAGUUGAUGGGGAGAAAACAAUGCCUAUUCAGUGGAAUUCAAGUGGUGGUCUGUGGACCAUUGCUGCAUGGUGAAUAUUCAACUACUGUCCUGGGAGAGGAUUAAGACAGUUGUUGAGAGCAAUAAUGUGAAAGCUGACUAAAAACAACUGUUAAUGUAUGUGGAAGUACAUCUUUAUUGAGGGUAAAAGUUUGGUGGAGAACUGUUGAACUAUAGAACAAUCUCAGUGUUUCCAAGGUAAGCAACCAAUUUGAUAUUGACUUUAAGAUGAAAUUGGACAACGAAUCUUUCUCAUUUGUCUAGUAUUUUGGAUAUUUCAAUUAUCUUAAUAUUGCUUUGCAAAAAAAAACAUGUCUUUUCACAGCAGAUAAGGUUGAAGGGCAAAAUCCUCAGUUAGAAGCUUGGAAGAAUACAAUUUCUGCAGACAAGUUCCAUGACUUAACAACAAUUAUUAAUGAAGUGGUUGGUGAUCUUGAUAUUGGACAUCUGCCAAAAUUUAUUAUCAAAUCCUUACAAAUUUGUACAACAUUUUGAUGUUUUUCUGUCAAAAGAAGAUCAAUGCCUAAUAUUAAUGUAUCCCUCAUUCCUUUCAUUGAAAGAUAAUUUAGAUAUCCUCUUACCUAAGUUAGAAUGACUAUUAUUAAAAAGACAAAAAAUAACAGAUGCUGGUGAGGAUGUGGAGAAAAGGGAACUUUUACACACUACCGGUGGGAAUAUAAAUUAGUAAAAUCAAAAAAUAGAACUACCAUAUGAUUCAAAAAUACCACUACUGGGUAUUUAUAUAAAGAAAACAAAAUCAAUAUUUCAAAAAGAUAUCUGCACUCCCAUGUUUAUCGUAGCACUACUAACAAUAGCAAAGAUAUGGAAUCAACCUAAGUGUUCGUCAAUAAACCAAUGGAUAAAAAUGCAGCGUAUACACACAAUGGAAUAAUAUCCAGCAAUAAAAAUAAGGAAAUCGUGUCAUUUGCAGCAGCAUGAAUGGAACUGGAGUUCAUUAACAUAAGUGAAAAAAGCCAGGCACAGAAAGACAAAUAUUACAAGUCAUCACAUAUGUGUGGGAGCUAAAAAUGUUAAUCUCCUGGAGGUAGAGAAGAGAAUAAUAGAUACAAGAAGAUGAAAAGAGUGUGUAUGGCAAGGGUGCGGGAGAUGGACAGAGGUUAGUUAAUGGGUACAAACAUACAGUUAGAUAAAGGAAUAAAUUAUACUGUUCAAUAUCAUAGUAGAGUGAUUAUAGUUAACAACAGUGUAUUGUCUUUCAAAAUAGCAAGAAGAUUUCAAAUGAUAAACACAGAACAUGACACAUACUCAAGGUAGCAGUUGCCCUAAAUACCCUGUCUUGACCAUUAUAUAUUGUAUGCAUGUAACAAAAUAUCACAUGAAUCUCAUAAAUAUGUACAAAUAUUAUUUAUCCAUAAAAAUUAAAAGUAUCAUUUACUUUUAAUUAUAAUUUUACAGGAAAUUUAUUUAUCUGAUUAUUGCUGAAGGAUUGAAGUACAUUUUGAAAACAUCACUCGUUUCCUUUGGGAUAAUGGCUAAAAAAUUAUUAUCAUUGCGAUUGCUGACAUUUCUCAAAAAUCAAUUGCUAUUUCAGUCAAAAUUUUACUUUAAAUUGGUUGUUAAAGGACAAAAAGUAGCAACCACAGUAGCAAUUUUCUGAAUUAACCUCUUGCGAGUAUAUAUAAAAUAUAUAUAAUAUAUAAUUAUAUAUAAUAAUACAUAAUAUAUAAUUAUAUAUAAUAUAUAUAUUAUAUAUAAAACAUGUUUUCAUCCAUGGUUGUUGGCAUAACUCCCAUAGUCUUCUGUUAUAAUGUUGGAGUGCUUUAAGUCUCAGGAGCAGACCUCAGAAAAUAUAAUCUCUCUCUCUGACCUUCCCCUGCCCUCCUCUAAUCUUCCCCUGCCUUUCUGAUUGUGGGCCAUAAGAUCCUCAUUUGAGAAAGGUCCUGCCAUACCCUGGAGGAAGGAAUGCUGCACAGAGGUGCUAACAAGAAUCUGAAUAGACAGGCCUUGCCGGGUUUCCCCACUCAGUCUAUUGGCAUUAUAAUAGAUAUUAUAGAUCAUACCCUUUGGUCUAAUAACAUUUCUACAUGUUUGUUAUCUUGCCUAUCCAAUGGAGUCUUCAUAAAAGGCCUGAAAGGACAGGAUGUAUAGAGCUUCUGGAGAGCUGAACAUGUGGAGGCUGACAGGAAGCAGAAGAAGAACCUGUCAUGUGCCAGGAGGAUGACACACCCCAACUCCACAGGGACAGAAGCUCCUGUGCUCUUCCAGGCCUCACACUAUAUAUCUCUUCAUCUGGCUUUUCAUUUGGAUCCUUUAUUUAUUUAUUUAUUUAUUUAUUUUUUAUUUUUUAUUUUAUGUAUUUAUUUUUUUUGAGACAGAGUCUUGGUCUGUUGCCCAGGCUGGAGUGCAGAGGCGCAAUCUCCGCUCACUGCAAGCUCUGCCUCCUGGGUUCAUGCCAUUCUCCUGCCUCAGCCUCCUGAGUAGCUGGGACUACAGGUGCCCACCACCACACCCGGCUAAUUUUUUUUUUUUUUUUUAAGUAGAGACGGGGUUUCACCGUGUUAGCCAGGGUGGUCUUGAUCUCCUGACCUCAUGAUCCGCCUGCCUCAGCCUCCCAAAGUGCUGGGAUUACAGGCAUGAGCCACUGUGCCUGGCCCCCAUUUGGAUCCUUUAAAACAUCCUUUGUGAUAAAUUGAUCAACAUAAGUAAGUGUUUCCUUGUGUUCUGUGAACUUCUCUAGCAAAUUAAUCAAACUCAAACAGAGGACUGUGGAAACCUCAACUCGAAGCCAGUCAGUGAGAAGUUCUGGAGGUGUGGAGUUUCAACUGGUUGGAAGGAGGAGGUGUUCUUGUGGGACUGAGCUCUCAACCUGUGGUUGCUGAGGCCAUUUCCAGGUAGACAGUGUCAGAAUUGAAUUGAAUUGGAGGACUUCCAGUUGGUGUCUGCUGCAGAAUAGAUUGCUUGCUUGGUGUAUGGAGAGAAACGUGCACACAUUUGGUCACAGAAGUCUUCCGUGUUGAUUGUUGCUGUUGAGAGAACAGAGGAAAAACACACCUUGAGUUGCUCUUUUCCACACUUAUCCCCCAUGUGCACACUAUCAACAAACACCAAGUACAGUUUCUGAAAUUCUUUUCUUUUUCUAUAUAGCUGUUCUGACUUGCUAAAUUUAUUAAUAAACAUUUUUUUACUUCUAAUGUGUAUAAAUUUUGCAUUUUAUUUUUCCAGGAACUUUUU
rnacentral:lncRNA from 1 species